rnacentral:rRNA from 1 species
AGACCCGAAACCCGGUGAUCUAGCCAUGGGCAGGUUGAAGGUUGGGUAACACUAACUGGAGGACCGAACCGACUAAUGUUGAAAAAUUAGCGGAUGACCUGUGGCUGGGGGUGAAAGGCCAAUCAAACCGGGAGAUAGCUGGUUCUCCCCGAAAGCUAUUUAGGUAGCGCCUCGUGAAUUCAUCUCCGGGGGUAGAGCACUGUUUCGGCUAGGGGGCCAUCCCGGCUUACCAACCCGAUGCAAACUGCGAAUACCGGAGAAUGUUAUCACGGGAGACACACGGCGGGUGCUAACGUCCGUCGUGAAGAGGGAAACAACCCAGACCGCCAGCUAAGGUCCCAAAGUCAUGGUUAAGUGGGAAACGAUGUGGGAAGGCCCAGACAGCCAGGAUGUUGGCUUAGAAGCAGCCAUCAUUUAAAGAAAGCGUAAUAGCUCACUGGUCGAGUCGGCCUGCGCGGAAGAUGUAACGGGGCUAAACCAUGCACCGAAGCUGCGGCAGCGAACGUAUCACCCAAGACAACUUUACGGAGUUGACGAUUGACGGAGCGAAGCGACGUCAAAGCGUUCAUUAAAGUCGAGUUGGCUUAGGGGUACGUUCGUUGGGUAGGGGAGCGUUCUGUAAGCCUGUGAAGGUGUGUCGUGAGGCAUGCUGGAGGUAUCAGAAGUGCGAAUGCUGACAUAAGUAACGAUAAAGCGGGUGAAAAGCCCGCUCGCCGGAAGACCAAGGGUUCCUGUCCAACGUUAAUCGGGGCAGGGUGAGUCGACCCCUAAGGCGAGGCCGAAAGGCGUAGUCGAUGGGAAACGGGUUAAUAUUCCCGUACUUGGUGUUACUGCGAAGGGGGGACGGAGAAGGCUAUGUUGGCCGGGCGACGGUUGUCCCGGUUUAAGCGUGUAGGUGUGUGUUCCAGGUAAAUCCGGUUCACUUUAACACUGAGGCGUGACGACGAGGCACUACGGUGCUGAAGCAACAAAUGCCCUGCUUCCAGGAAAAGCCUCUAAGCAUCAGGUAACAUCAAAUCGUACCCCAAACCGACACAGGUGGUCAGGUAGAGAAUACCAAGGCGCUUGAGAGAACUCGGGUGAAGGAACUAGGCAAAAUGGUGCCGUAACUUCGGGAG